GACGAACGCUGGCGGCGUGCUUAACACAUGCAAGUCGAACGGAAAGGCCCUGCUUUUGUGGGGUGCUCGAGUGGCGAACGGGUGAGUAACACGUGAGUAACCUGCCCUUGACUUUGGGAUAACUUCAGGAAACUGGGGCUAAUACCGGAUAGGAGCUCCUGCUGCAUGGUGGGGGUUGGAAAGUUUCGGCGGUUGGGGAUGGACUCGCGGCUUAUCAGCUGGUUGGUGGGGUAGUGGCUUACCAAGGCUUUGACGGGUAGCCGGCCUGGGAGGGUGACCGGCGACAUUGGGACUGAGAUACGGCCCAGAGUCCUACGGGAGACAGCAGUGGGGAGUAUUGCACAAUGGGCGGAAGCCUGAUGCAGCGACGCCGCGUGCGGGAUGACGGCCUUCGGGUUGUAAACCGCUUUCGCCUGUGACGAAGCGUGAGUGACGGUAAUGGGUAAAGAAGCACCGGCUAACUACGUG
rnacentral:rRNA from 1 species